GGAAUCGGUUGGAACGGAAAUGGA
rnacentral:siRNA from 1 species